CUGCCCAGGCUGGCUUUGAACUGCUAUGCUUAAAUAGGUAUUAUCUCUUCAUGCACAUACCAUACAGUGGCAGCGAUGAACUCUUGAGGCGUCAGCUUCACUUCCUUUUCUCAGUCCAUGUAUUUACCUAAAAUAUUCACAGUCUUUUCCACAUAUUUACAAAAUCAGGUCCCAAGACGUGAACUGCCAACGCUCAGUUCAAAUGCACUGGGACUCAUUUGGCCUCCAGGGCGAGGUGAGUGGCCUCAGGAGCUGCCCCCGGCCACAGAGGAGCUGCCGCACAGCAUACUGACAUGAGCAAGGCCGGCUACGCAACAAGCAGUUGGUGGACCUCAAAGGCCGGAGCUCCAGCUUUCUCUGGAGCAGCAGUGUCCCAGAGGCUCGGGUGGGGGUGGGGUGAGCACUCACACCAGCAACCCCAGAUCUAAGAACUCCAGAGCUGCCUCACCCGGAGCUCCCAAACGUGUCUAUCAAAACCUCACCCAACAGAAGAUGAAAAGAACCAACUUUUCAUCUUUACAGUUACUUAUGUAGCCCUGGGUCCUACGUCGUCAUGCUUUAGGGAAGCUUCAAAUAGGGUAACACUAGGUAGUUACAAGCUCCAUCUUCUCUCUGAACAAAUGCCAAUUUCCAUAGAGCCAAACUGACUGCCAGUAAGUAUCUACCCUCUUAAUAAAGAAUAAUGUGUUGAAGCAACUUUCGAGUUCCUCUGUGCAUCUAUAAUUUGGUAUUUAUCUAGAAGAAUAUUAUGAAAGUCAUGGUUUUAAAAUUUCAUUAUAGAUACUUUUAUCUCAUUACACACAUCUCCUGUCUUCCUACAUUUCCAUCAAAGUAUUUCUUACAGUGAAAUAUACAAUUGAUCAGAGAUAAAAUUUUAGUAUUUAUUAUACAAUUUAAAAAUAUUCUCCCAAAUUCCAGAAGCAGGCACAAAUUUACAAACUUAAAAGGUCCACUCUUCGAUUAGAGCAAAUUCAGAAACAUGUGAUUUUAAUUUCUUAAUAGCUUUAUUGUCUCUUUAAAAUAAUUUUCCUUUUCUGAUUUUAAGAAAUAUAUGAAUCCCUAUGUAUUCAGCACUACACAUUUCCAAACAUGUAAGAAUUUCCUUUGAAUAGUACAUGUUUAACGGCACAAAUUUAAACAACAUGCAAACGACAAGUUAUUUCUUUAAUUAAAGUUAAAGGAUUUGAGAUUUUGUUAUUUUUCUCAGGAAAAAAACUAGAAAAAAGUACAGAAAUCUUUUCUUAUGCUAUUCGCCCAAGCUAGCAUGUUUGGCUUCUAAUUGGAAACAUGUGGGGACGGGGUUGGCGGACGGCAAUGAAACUGAAGUUACCAAUUCACACCCUGCCAUUUUGAGGGUAUUUUGUUUUUACAGUUUCCAAAUCAAAACCAAACGGACUUUCCUUUGAACUCUGGUCCCAAAGCAAAUAUCUUUAUGAGAUUUCACUCUCAAGAAUACUUUAUAAAUAUUUUGUAAAACAGGAAGAAUUUCAUGAGUAUUUGAGAUGAGGCUAAACCAACAGAAUUUGUUUUGAAAGUUUAACUUAAAUUAAAAUGUAAGUACUCUUGAAAGAUGGAAUUAUUUAAAUAUACAUACAGUCCUCCCCAUAACACAUACUAGAGUGAAUACCAGUAGCAAUGAUUU